GCCCUUAUAGCUCAGUGGUAGAGCGCAUCACUCGUAAUGAUGAGGUCUAUCGUUCAAUCCGGUAUGAGGGCA
rnacentral:tRNA from 1 species